rnacentral:SRP_RNA from 1 species
AGGAAGCUGGACCGCUUCCUGUCGGCCUUGACACAUUUCCUGUGUCCUUAUAUUUGUGAGGGGGAGACAAGCACCUCUACCCAGCCUAGUCUGCAUUCAGGGACAUGUUUCUGAGUCAUUGCUCAUCAUCAGCCUGAAGUAGCAACACCAGUUGGCUGAAGUCCCUGAAUGCAGACUAGGUUGGGUGGGGGUGCUUGUCUCCCCCUCGCAAAUAUAAGGACACAGGAAAUGUG